CUGACUCAGCCGGGCCGCAGAGGCCAUCGUGGGUUUAACCGCGGCUGAGAUGGGCUGAGAAUGGGCAUCUGGGUCAGGAAAGGAGCCCCGCAGCUUUGAGAAGCCAAGGCAGAGGUAUUGGCAGUGUCUGCUUGCUAUCCUGCAGGCUGGGGAAAGGAGCGCAAAGGACUCCAGAGACUCAAGUCGGUUUCUGCCCAAACUUUUCUCAGGCCGUCAGGGCCGGGAGAGAAAACGUCGGAUUCUCGGGAGGGGGACUUUACAGCACCCCUGCUUACCUCGGCCGCCAGUCACCCCAUCCAGAUGCCCCACCCCCACUGUAAAUCUUCGGAAGGCUCAGCCCCCGCCUCUAGA